AUACUUUACCUGGCAGGGGAGAUACCAUGAUCACUAAGGUGGUUCUCCCAGGGUGAGGUGCAACGAAUGAACUCCCGGAGUUCUGACCCCUGCAUUUUCCCCAAAUGCAGGAAACUUGACUGUAUGGUGAUGUGGGACUGCGUUCACGCUUUCUAUGU